AAUAAUUAUUUUAGAUUCCACAUGUGCGGUUCUAGCCCCCAAAGCUGAAAUAUCAUGCUGAAUUUGGGUAAUAGCGUCCCUGAGGUCCUGUUUCAAGGACUUUUGUAAAUCAGCCAUGAGCACUCUCAUCCCCUUUAACACUGCUUCAGUGACUGGAGCAGGAUCUGUUUCCCCUCCUGCAAUUUCAAGCACAGCAGCAGAGGUGAGCUGUUUAGCUGUUUUAUGUGAGGCACUGUGUGCCUGACGAGCUGGAGGAUCCUGCUGCACAGAAAGGUCAUGCUGGGGAGAGUAUGUGACCUGUGCAGGGGAUUUCGAGGCAGAGGAGGAGGAUGGGGAUUUCCCUGAGCUCUGAGGAGACACAAGCUGCGCUGAGGAGAGAGAAGGUGCCGAUCUGACAGCAGCUGCUGAAGCGGGAGAAUCGCCAUCUUGGAGCGCAGUCACAGCAGGGAAGAAGCUGGUUUCGAUCUACUCACCAGCAGGGAAUCUCUUGAUGUUUUUUUGGCUCUCUCAUAGCCCCGCUGAAUGGAGUUGUACUGAUAUCCUCUUUCGAGGAAUCGCUGUGUCAAAACCGAAGCCUGCUGAUCGAAGUGCUCUUCGUUGGAGCAGAUUCUGCGAGUUCUCAAGAAUUGCCCUGUGGGUAUUGCCUGUAUCGUAUUUGGGUGGUGAGCAGAGGAGGCGUGGAGAAGGGCAUUGACGGCUGUGGACUUCCUGAAAAGAUCAGUGGACAAAUAUCCAUCAGGACCUUUGAUGAUCAUUAUAUCUAAAAAUUCGACAUUUGUAAGGCUAUAUUUCCAGUUCUUGUGUGGACAUGGUACGAGGAGUGGAGGUGUUCAAGUUGAGGAGCAGUUCUCAUAUGUACCGGAAAUUCUAUGAUGCAAAUAAGAAAGAAGAUAUCAACAGAAAGAAACAUCAUGAUCCUUUUAUUUAUUUCUGUGUGGUUGGUUCCAUAGUUAUCUGAUAAGGAAUCUGCUAUGAUAUAUGGGCUAGAUUAUUGGUGAAUGAAUUUGUAUGGAUUAUAAUUAGAAUGUGAUGUUGUUUUAGGACUUUAUGUACAUCAUUGGGUGAUGUUGUGCCCGAUUAGGCUGGUAUAACCAUGAUUGAUGGUACCCAGCUGGUUUUGGACACACCCUCACCCUCUAAUAUGAAUAAUCAACUUUAUGAAUAUCUAUGAUUAUGAGUUUUGGAAUUUUCAUUUAUUUAGUCAAUAUUUUCUGCACAGGUCAGGUCGCUGGAGGGUGUAAUAUAGUCUGUGCUGGAAGAUAUUAUUGACCAGCACGGUCUUCUUAUAUAAGUUCACAUUGUUGGUUCUGGAUAAUUAAUUAUGCACAUGUUGGGUGCUGGAAGAUAUUAUUGACCAGCACGGUCUUCUUAUAUAAACUCACAAUUUUGGGUUUAGGAUAAUUGACUAUGUACAUGUUGGGUGCUGCUGGGGUGUGGCGAUGGGCCUGACUGCACUGAACCCACUAGGUUAAGGUGGGCCCAGUGACACUCGGGUCCAUCGAUCAUCCCCCGCAAUACUUCACAUCAAUUAUAAAUGAAAUUUUUUUUUUUCCCCCUCUUAACGUUGGUGGAACCUUUUUAUGAUAUGUGUGAAUUGAAUGGAUCACUGUCUUUUACUUUGGAAAUAUUUAAGCGGUAGUAUAAUUUUACAGGGUCUACGUAGUUUUAUUUUGAAUGGGCUAGAUAGGAUGGGACCUCUACUGGUUAGGGCCCAUACCUACAUAAUCAUCGUUGCACGGGUUACUUACAUUUAUUCUUAAUAAUAUUGGUGAGAACAUAAUAUUAAAAUUUGUUUUUUUGAAAAAUAUUGCUCCUUCCUGUAUAUAUACAUAAUUGAUAUACAUAUACCAUGUCUUAGAGGAAAUAUAUAUUAAAUAUCAUCUUAUAUAAUCAUGUACAUAAAGUCUGCUCAUUAUAAAUUUUUGUAAUUAUAUAUGGAAACAUGGUGUCAUGGAUAUGUAAAUUUAUUGUUAAAAAUUAUGGGAUCUAAUUCAUAAAAAAUCAUGUUAUUCCUGACAUAUAAAUUUGUUAAAUUCUUGUGUAUCCGUUUUUAUAAAAUCAUGGGGUGCAAUCUAUAAGAAAUCAUGUUACAUUUUAUAUACUAAAUCAUGGUGUGAAAUUCAUGAAUAUUUGUAUGAAAAUAUGAAAUUGUGGAAUCAUGUUUAUAGUAUUGUCAGUGCAGAUUUUUUGUUUAUCUUCUUUUGUUUAUUUUUUGUUGAUUUAUCUUUAUUUUUCUUCUCCUCGACUUCUUUUUCACCUUUAUUCCCUCUUCUUCCCCCCCUGUUUUUAUCCCUAUCAUGAGCCAUGCAUAUUCAGCGGUCUUAAGGUUUUUCCGGACUUUAUACACCUCAUGCAAAUCCCAUUAAGGGUUAAGACUAUUCGCCAUAUAUUCGGAUGGGCUCUGGUACUUUCUGAGCCGUUUGGCAGGUUUGCCGUAUAGGCUGAUAUAGCGCUUGGCCAGGAUGCGCUGCGCGCCGGGUCACGUGGAGACGUAGCUACGUUUCCUUGGGAGGCGGGCUGGAACGCACGUUUGCGUUCCACCCCUCCUCCUGAUGAAUGCGGCGUCUCCAUGAUGUCCUCGGCGUGCAUCAUCGGGCACAAGCGCUCGAUAAAUAGGUAUCAGCUGAAUUAUACUAAUUAAAGGUGUAGCUGCAUGAGGAGUAUAAAGGGGGAGCCAUGGCCACACUCACAUUAACCUCCUGACGAAGCUGAGGCGAAACGCGCGUCGGGGUUCCUUCCAGCCCUGUGUUCGGUGCCUCAACCCUUCAUCAUGUCUGUGGGUAUGUUCACGUCCCCAGUGGAUAUUUUUUGUGUGGGAGUUUGAUCUUACAGCCUGGUAUCCUUGAUUUAUUGUAUAUGGGCAGAUUGCAUCUGGAUGUAUUUGAUGGAUGUCAUGUGACUCUGUGCUCCAUUGUAUCAUUAUUUUUGGGCUGCAUUUUUUCAUACAAUAAUCUUCCCCUGGGUUGUGCAGUGAGUUGAAUAUCACAGACACUUGUAGUGGAUGUUCACUGAUAUUUUCUACUGGUGAAUCACCUCACUGCAUAUUACACUGACAUGUAUUUCAUCUGCUUGGCGGGUGUUUGA